AACCUAGCACACCUGCGGUGUGUACCUGCGGAGGGAUCAUUACCUAGAGUUGUAGGCUUUGCCUGCUAUCUCUUACCCAUGUCUUUUGAGUACCUUACGUUUCCUCGGUGGGUUCGCCCGCCGGUUGGACAAAACUUAAACCCUUUGUAGUUGCAAUCAGCGUCUGAAAAAACUUAAUAGUUACAACUUUCAGCAACGGAUCU
rnacentral:misc_RNA from 1 species